rnacentral:rRNA from 1 species
ACGAACGCUGGCGGCAUGCCUAACACAUGCAAGUCGAGCGCCUGUAGCAAUACAGGAGCGGCGCACGGGUGAGUAACGCGUGGGAACCUGCCCUUAGGUUCGGAACAACCGCGGGAAACUGCGGCUGAUACCGGAUGAUGUCUUCGGACCAAAGAUUUAUCGCCUUUGGAGGGGCCCGCGUCGGAUUAGGUCGUUGGUGAGGUAACGGCUCACCAAGCCUGCGAUCCGUAGCUGGUCUGAGAGGAUGACCAGCCACACUGGGACUGAGACACGGCCCAGACUCCUACGGGAGGCAGCAGUGGGGAGUAUUGGACAAUGGGGGCAACCCUGAUCCAGCAAUGCCGCGUGGGUGAUGAAGGCCUUCGGGUUGUAAAGCCCUUUCGACGGGGAGGAAGGCACCGGCGCGAAUAGCGUUGGUGAUUGACGUAACCUGGAGAAGAAGCACCGGCUAACUCCGU